CUUGCCCUCAAGGAGCUCACAGUCUAUUGAGUUGCCUUUCUAACUUUCCCACUAGAUUGUAAGCUCCUGGAGGGCAGG
ncrna:rRNA from 1 species